ACGGGAUCAUUAUGGUCGGAAAUACCCUGGCAAACGCCUGUCAGAAUUUUCGGUUUCGUUUUCCGUCACCCCUUUUCUUUUGCGUUUGCUUUAAAUUGUAGAACGUGACAAGUGGUGUUUGGAAAAUUUUCAACGUGAAAUAUAUAAAACCGUUUUCUUUACAGAUAGCAUAAGCACAUUAGGAGGCCAGCCCAGCAGCCACCGGAGAAGGCCUUGCCCCACUGGCCGCACUUGCAUUUGUUAAAAAGAACGCAAACAAAAAUGGGAAAAAAUUAAUGUAAUAAAAGAAAAAAUAAAAAUUUAA